ensembl:lncRNA
CAGUGGGACAGGAAGUGAUAGGCACGUGACAGGAAGACAUUUUUUUUCUCGCUGUUAGGGGGGUGCUGACAGGAGAGUUUGCAGCCCUUGGGGAAUCAGCUGUCGUUCCCCAACAUUCCCCCACCUGGAGCUGGAGAGAAGAGGGAUCAGAUGGGAGGGUGGCCACUCCCCACCACUGUGUGCACGAACUCCCCAGCAGACCCUUCCGAGGGCUCAGCUCACCGUGGCCCCUACAAUUGAGAAAGGAUCCUUCCCUGCUCAAGCAUCCCAGGGGUCAGGGAUCACGCCCUGCCUGCAUUAUCACCCAACUCUGAAGACCAUUCAUCUAAAAACCUCAGAGCUUUUGAACAGAGUCACCUGCAGACCUGAAGGCCACUCAAGUGUCCUCACCACCCCCCCUCACUACACGGGCUGACAGGAACAACGUCAUGGCAUGUGUGGGUGACUGUGCCCAUCAGAGGAGGCACAGGGUGAUCAGGAUGAGCUCCAGCUAGCUUCCUGCCAGGUUGCCACAUGGUCAGGAGUAGGAGCACAUCAGAGUCCUUACUGGAUAAUUCCCACCGACCCAGGCUCAAGUUCUGCCCUGUGAAGCAGGAGAAAAAGGGUGACAAGCCUCAGCCCUGCCUGUGCCCAGGGUGGUGAGGUGAUCAGGAACAGAACUAAGAGUUGGGUAAAGAGCAACGGGAAACGAUUCUGUUAGAGAACACGCACACAUACAUGUGCACACGGUCCAAGGCAGAAGGUAGCAGUCUGGCUGCAGACUCGGAAGCUGGCACCAGGUAAGGAGCAGGGGGUACCAUCUCUUACAUGCCAACGUGCUGGGCACCCUAUCCAAGACAAGAUGAAUAGUGGUGGGGGAGGGCAAGAAACUUCUCAAGACAGUUUGUUGUUGUUGUUGCUUUUUAAAUUAUUUCCAUAUGACUUAACCCCCACCCCCAGCCUAGCACACUGGGGGAUCUGACCCCCUUUCCCACGAACAGUAAUACAGCAGGGCAGUGCCCAGAGAGAAAAGGAGACACAGUUAAACUGAUCUGCCAACCACCCCUCAACAUACACACAUCUGGCUAGCAGCUUCCAAGCCUCGUGGGUGGCACUAAAUCCCAGACAUCCUCAGUGAAGCAAGGUCGGCCAGUCUAUUCUGUCCUUCCCUCACCCCAAAAGGCUUCCACAACCCCCAAGUAACACAAGACUCAGGCGCGUCUCACUCAACUGCUCUGGCUCCCGCACCCAAUUCUGACGGCUCCCCCACACUCCGACCGAGACACCAGCUGAGCGGGCCCCGCCCCCCCAGCCAGUUCCCUCUGGUGGGGGUGGGCCCCUGGCUGAUUCUCCCCAAACCACAGGGCGGCUCAGGUAACAGGAGAAAGAGUAGGAGGGGGCUAGUCCGUUGGGCAUCUGAUCUCUCCCCAAACAGGUUUCAAGAAGUCUUUUUGUUUGGUUUGGUUUUGGAGAGAAAAGAGUUCCCAGCAGUGGAUCUGCCACGGCUGGAGCGCCGGGGACACGCGCGGCAGACGGCCGCAGAAGCCUCAAGGCUGUGCGCGCGAAGACGCGGCGUAGACGGGGCUCCCCAACCCCGGACACGCCAGCGGCAGGCUGGGAAGUCCAGGAAACCCCAGGUCCCCGUCGAAACCGCCCGGCACCCAGUCCCCGCCCGCAGCUCCGGUCCAGAGCGGGCCACCGGGCCCCGAUGUACCCAGGGAAGGGCGAGUCUUAAAGGAGACGCUUCCAGCUGGUGGCUGGACCGUGGGAAUCUGGGAGAAUCCCUCCCUCAACACGCCAGAAAGAGAUUGAGAGCGAGAAGGGGUGUGUGUGAAGUUCAGAGAAAAAAAUAAAAAUACGACUCGGCGGAG